rnacentral:rRNA from 1 species
UUAAUUGAAGAGUUUGAUCAUGGCUCAGAUUGAACGCUGGCGGCAGGCCUAACACAUGCAAGUCGAGCGGUAACAGAAAGUAGCUUGCUACUUUGCUGACRAGCGGCGGACGGGUGAGUAAUGCCUAGGGAUCUGCCCAGUCGAGGGGGAUAACAGUUGGAAACGACUGCUAAUACCGCAUACGCCCUACGGGGGAAAGGAGGGGACCUUCGGGCCUUUCGCGAUUGGAUGAACCUAGGUGGGAUUAGCUAGUUGGUAAGGUAAUGGCUUACCAAGGCGACGAUCCCUAGCUGUUCUGAGAGGAUGAUCAGCCACACUGGGACUGAGACACGGCCCAGACUCCUACGGGAGGCAGCAGUGGGGAAUAUUGCACAAUGGGGGAAACCCUGAUGCAGCCAU